GCCAUUCUCAGUUCGGAUUGUAGGCUGAAACUCGCCUACAUGAAGCUGGAGUUACUAGUAAUCGCAGAUCAGAAUGCUGCGGUGAAUGCGUUCCCGGGUCUUGUACACACCGCCCGUCACACCACGGAAGCUGGGGGCGCCCGAAGCCACUUAGCUAACCCUUUUGGGAAGCGAGUGUCGAAGGUGAAAUCAAUAACUGGGGUGAAGUCGUAACAAGGUAUC
rnacentral:rRNA from 1 species